rnacentral:rRNA from 1 species
GUCUAUGCCAUACUACCCUGAACACAUGUGAUCUCAUCUGAUCUCAGAAGCUAACCAGGGUUAGGCCUCGUUAAUAUGCAGGUGGGAUUAAAGACC